GGAAGGAUCAUUGAAUCUAUCGAUACCAACUCGUGAACACUACCCGUCUGGAGCGGGGGAUGCUGUGGCGUCGGCCGCUAACAACGGUCCGCCGCCCGCCUCGCCUGCGGCUUGGCAGCAGCUCACCCGCUCCCUCCGUUGUCACACACUCUAACACCACAACCGUUUACACCUCGUGGCUCACGCCGCGGGUUGAACUUAACAAAGACAACUCUCAACAACGGAUAUCUUGGCUCUCGCAACGAUGAAGAACGCAGCGAAAUGCGAUACGUAGUGUGAAUUGCAGAAUUCCGUGAACCAUCGAAUCUUUGAACGCAUAUUGCGCUCGAGGCUUCGGCCAAGAGCAUGUCUGCCUCAGCGUCGGCUUACCCCAUCACCCCCCAUCCACUGUGAUGGCUCGGGUGGACCUGGCAGUCUCAGCAGCUUCGGAGUUCGCUCCAUUCGCGCUGGGUCUGCCGAAGAAUAGAGGCUUGAGCACGGACCCGAUUACGGCAACAACUGGGUGGGCAGCUCGUCUGCAACUAGUUGGUGCUUGGGACCGUGCUGGGGGCCCGCAGGAAGCAACGGCUUGCCGUUGUAAACCCCUCACUAUUCGACCUGAGCUCAGGCAAGAUUACCCGCUGAACUUAAGCAUAUCAAUAAGCGGAGGAAAAGAAACUAACAAGGAUUCCCCUAGUAACGGCGAGCGAACCGGGAAUAGCCCAACUUGGAAAUCUCCCUCGGAGAAUUGUAGUCUAUAGAAGCGCCCUCUGCAGCGGCCGGGUCCCAAGUCCCCUGGAAGGGGGCGUCGUAGAGGGUGAGAACCCCGUCGGACCUUGGUGCAGCUGCCUCACGAGGUGCUUUCGAAGAGUCGGGUUGUUUGGGAAUGCAGCCCAAAGCUGGUGGUAAAUCCCAUCUAAGGCUAAAUACUGGCGAGAGACCGAUAGCGAACAAGUACCGCGAGGGAAAGAUGAAAAGAACUUUGAAAAGAGAGUUAAAAAGUGCUUGAAAUUGUUGAGGGGGAAGCGAUUGGCGGCUGCGUGUGCACCCAGGCUUACGCCGUUCUAACGAGCGGCUGCAUGCGCUGGGUGUUGGUCAGCAUGGGUUGGCUUGGCAGGAUAAACGCGGGGGUUGUUACCUCGUCUAUGCUGCCGGGCCGACCGAGGCGUGAAGGCCGCUCUUGUCCUUCGGGAUCUGCGGCCUCGAGAUGCUGGCGGAAGGCCUUCAAUCGGCCCGUCUUGAAACACGGACCAAGGAGUCUAACAUGUAUGCGAGCUGGUGGGUGGCAAACCCAUGAGGCGCAAGUAACCUGACUUUGGUGGGAUGGCCGCAAGGCCUGCACCAUCGACCGACCGUGAUCUUCUGUGAAAGGUUCGAGUACGAGCAUACCUGUUGGGACCCGAAAGAUGGUGAACUAUGCCUGAGCAGGGCGAAGCCGGAGGAAACUCCGGUGGAGGCUCGUAGAUGUGCUGACGUGCAAAUCGCUUUUCGGACUUGGGUAUAGGGGCGAAAGACUAAUCGAACCAUCUAGUAGCUGGUUCCCUC
rnacentral:misc_RNA from 1 species